GUGGGGAAUAUUGGACAAUGGGCGAAAGCCUGAUCCAGCCAUGCCGCGUGUGUGAAGAAGGUCUUCGGAUUGUAAAGCACUUUAAGUUGGGAGGAAGGGUAGUAACCUAAUACGUUGCUACUUUGACGUUACCGACAGAAUAAGCACCGGCUAACUUCGUGUCAGCAGCCGCGGUAAUACGAAGGGUGCAAGCGUUAAUCGGAAUUACUGGGCGUAAAGCGCGCGUAGGUGGUUCAGUAAGUUGGAAGUGAAAUCCCCGGGCUCAACCUGGGAACUGCUUUCAAAACUGCUGAGCUAGAGUACGGUAGAGGGUGGUGGAAUUUCCUGUGUAGCGGUGAAAUGCGUAGAUAUAGGAAGGAACACCAGUGGCGAAGGCGACUACCUGGACUGAUACUGACACUGAGGUGCGAAAGCGUGGGGAGCAAACAGGAUUAGAAACCCGUGUAGUCC
rnacentral:rRNA from 1 species